CAACAGUCUUUCUACUUGCCUGCUGGUCGGGACCUACAAGGAAUAUAUCACCAAGAAGGGAAUCAAUUUGAGUGCUUGCAUUUAUUUUAGAAGUUCAGGAACCAAGGAAAAUGAUGAAGACAAUCGUAGUAGUGGUUGCCGUGUUGGCCCUGUGUCUCUUUGUUGCCGAGGCCAGACCACCAAAGGGACCUGGCAGUGGUGAAUCCCGGAAGGGAGGUGAUAGAAAGCAUGGGGACAGGCCAUUAAAACAGGGGGUGAAGUUCUGCGAAGCCUUUGACAACG